AUUGAACGCUGUCGGCAUGCUUUACACAUGCAAGUCGAACGGUAACAGGCCGCAAGGUUCUGGCGAGUGGCGCACGGGUGAGUAAUGCGUAGGACUAUGCCUUGAAGUCGGGGAUCACAUGGGGAUCCUCCAGCUAAUACCGCAUAAUCUCUAAGGAGGAAAGCUGGGGACCUUCGGGCCUGGCGCUUUAAGAGUAGCCUACGUCCGAGUAGCUAGUUGGUAGGGUAAAGGCCUACCAAGGCGACGAUCGGUAGCUGGUCUGAGAGGAUGAUCAGCCACACUGGGACUGAGACACGGCCCAGAAUCCUACGGGAGGCAGCAGUGGGGAAUAUUGGACAAUGGGGGCAACCCUGAUCCAGCGAUGCCGCGUGUGUGAAGAAGGCCUACGGGUUGUAAAGCACUUUCGGUGGGGAGGAGGAUUCAUAGGUUAAGAGCUAAUGGAUUGGACGUUACCCACAAAGGAAGCACCGGCUAACUCCGUGCCAGCAGCCGCGGUAACAC
rnacentral:rRNA from 1 species